AUACUUUUGCAGCACCUAUAUUAAAACUGGAACAAUACAGAAAGGAUUAGCAUGGCUGUUGUGCAAGAAUUACACACAAAUUCGUAUUAACAGCUACAUAGACUG